rnacentral:rRNA from 1 species
UGCGGCAGGCCUACACAUGCAGUCGAGCGGAACGAGUUAUCUGAACCUUCGGGGAACGAUAACGGCGUCGAGCGGCGGACGGGUGAGUAAUGCCUAGGAAAUUGCCCUGAUGUGGGGGAUAACCAUUGGAAACGAUGGCUAAUACCGCAUGAUGCCUACGGGCCAAAGAGGGGGACCUUCGGGCCUCUCGCGUCAGGAUAUGCCUAGGUGGGAUUAGCUAGUUGGUGAGGUAAGGGCUCACCAAGGCGACGAUCCCUAGCUGGUCUGAGAGGAUGAUCAGCCACACUGGAACUGAGACACGGUCCAGACUCCUACGGGAGGCAGCAGUGGGGAAUAUUGCACAAUGGGCGCAAGCCUGAUGCAGCCAUGCCGCGUGUGUGAAGAAGGCCUUCGGGUUGUAAAGCACUUUCAGUCGUGAGGAAGGUAGUGUAGUUAAUAGCUGCAUUAUUUGACGUUAGCGACAGAAGAAGCACCGGCUAACUCCGUGCCAGCAGCCGCGGUAAUACGGAGGGUGCGAGCGUUAAUCGGAAUUACUGGGCGUAAAGCGCAUGCAGGUGGUUUGUUAAGUCAGAUGUGAAAGCCCGGGGCUCAACCUCGGAAUAGCAUUUGAAACUGGCAGACUAGAGUCUGUAGAGGGGGGUAGAAUUUCAGGUGUAGCGGUGAAAUGCGUAGAGAUCUGAAGGAAUACCGGUGGCGAAGGCGGCCCCCUGGACAGAUACUGACACUCAGAUGCGAAAGCGUGGGGAGCAAACAGGAUUAGAUACCYUGGUAGUCCACGCCGUAAACGAUGUCUACUUGGAGGUUGUGGCCUUGAGCCGUGGCUUUCGGAGCUAACGCGUUAAGUAGACCGCCUGGGGAGUACGGUCGCAAGAUUAAAACUCAAAUGAAUUGACGGGGGCCCGCACAAGCGGUGGAGCAUGUGGUUUAAUUCGAUGCAACGCGAAGAACCUUACCUACUCUUGACAUCCAGAGAACUUUCCAGAGAUGGAUUGGUGCCUUCGGGAACUCUGAGACAGGUGCUGCAUGGCUGUCGUCAGCUCGUGUUGUGAAAUGUUGGGUUAAGUCCCGCAACGAGCGCAACCCUUAUCCUUGUUUGCCAGCGAGUAAUGUCGGGAACUCCAGGGAGACUGCCGGUGAUAAACCGGAGGAAGGUGGGGACGACGUCAAGUCAUCAUGGCCCUUACGAGUAGGGCUACACACGUGCUACAAUGGCGCAUACAGAGGGCGGCCAACUUGCGAAAGUGAGCGAAUCCCAAAAAGUGCGUCGUAGUCCUGAUGAGUUUC